rnacentral:rRNA from 1 species
UAUGCGACCGGCGCACGGGUGAGUAACACGUAUCCAACCUGCCGAUGACUCGGGGAUAGCCUUUCGAAAGAAAGAUUAAUACCCGAUGGCAUAGUUCUUCCGCAUGGUAGAACUAUUAAAGAAUUUCGGUCAUCGAUGGGGAUGCGUUCCAUUAGUUUGUUGGCGGGGUAACGGCCCACCAAGACUACGAUGGAUAGGGGUUCUGAGAGGAAGGUCCCCCACAUUGGAACUGAGACACGGUCCAA